GCCUGGCAGGCUCAGUCGGUAGAGCGCGGGCCUCUCGAUCUCAGGAUCGUGAGUUCAAGCCCCACGCCGGGCA
rnacentral:tRNA from 1 species